rnacentral:rRNA from 1 species
CCAAUAGCGUAUAUUAAAGUUGUUGCAGUUAAAAAGCUCGUAGUUGAAUUUCGGGAUCAAUAUGUUGGUCGUGCCUCGUUAGGUACUGGCAUAUUGGUUUCUCCUUUCUGAAGAACCAUGAUGUCAUUAAUUUGGUGUCGUGGGGAAUCAGGACUGUUACUUUGAAAAAAUUAGAGUGUUUAAAGAAGGCUAACGCUUGAAACCAUUAGCAGGGAUUAAUGAAAUAGGACGUUUGAUUCUAUUUUGUUGGUUUCUAGGAUCGACGUAAUGAUUAAUAGGGAUAGUUGGGGGCAUUAGUAUUCAAUUGUCAGAGGUGAAAUUCUUGGAUUUAUUGAAGACUAACUACUGCGAAAGCAUUUGCCAAGGAUGUUUUCAUUAAUCAAGAACGAAAGUUAGGGGAUCGAAGACGAUCAGAUACCGUCGUAGUCUUAACCAUAAACUAUGCCGACUAGGGAUCGGAUGAUGUUAAUUUUUUAAUGACUCAUUCGGCGCCUUACA